UUUAUUCAUCAUUGAUUUGGUUCGGUUCAAUUUUGAGAAUUUUUUCUUUCUCUCUGAAAACAAACCAAACCCAGCGGACAAAGUUUGAUAGGUCCAUAAUCCAUAUCCAUUUCUUCCUUCUCGUUUGCAUUAUUCUGACUGCAUUUCCUUUUAAUUUUUCCAAUCUUCCUUGCAUUUUCAAUUUUGCCCACACUUCGCUCCCAUUUUGUGGCUUCAUUUUCAGGUAAAUCGCGCAACUCUCUCUCCUGUUAUUCUGCUCAACUAAUCUCGCAUUUGCAGAAAUUUGUUUCUGUCUGUUUGAUUCUUAUGAGAAUUUAUUGAAGUAGCAGAUGUGACCUAGAUGCAGAGGUACAUGCUUCUUGAGUAGAGUCAGGACUUACCUGUAGAUCCUGAUGGACUCAGAGGUGAAUUGGGUGGUUGAGCUUUGGGACCUUCAAUUCUGUAAAAUUGGGACAAUUCAAACCUCAUAUUGCAGCUGGGAUACAUAACUCUUCCCCCUCCACUUCCCAAAUAACGCCAGAAAAUUGAUUUUCCAAUCAAAUCUUGCAGACAAUUCGUGCAAUCUACACUGGACAAAUCUGGUGUGCACUGGCCAAGAGUAUAUAGAGAUUGUACAUCACUCAAAUUCUGUGAUUCCACUUUAUAUCUUCCAUCACUGUACCCUGUGGUUUUUGCGAGUCGAUUUAAGUUAUUUGAUAAUUGAUAACCGAACUCGCUAAUUUGGUUGGAAGCUUUAGUGAUGUUCAGCUCAGAAUAUGUAGGACUUGUCUCCAUUUUGGAAAGGAAAUUCUGGUUGGAAUAUCUAAGCAUGCAUUGCCUGUACCAUAUUAUAGCCUCUUUGGAUGAUUGACACUCUGAGGAUAUUUGAUGUGUUGCGUUUAUGAUGCAUUGUCCGCACAGGUCAGUGGGAACAUCGCCCCGGCACAUGAAGAGGCCAUAUACCUUGCCGUUCACAUCACCAUAAUAAUUUUUCAGGCCGUCAUAUCUGGUGGCGUUGGAAGAAAAAUGAGAGAGAAGGGUCUUGGUGUCGUUUUGGAAAGAUAAAUCAGGGGAGGAUUGGUCACUUGUGCAUAAGCUGCGAACAUAGAUAGGGAACAAAAAUUCAUUCCUAAUGUUAUUCUCAAAUCUUGGUUUCUCUGACCUACUAUACGAGCCGCCGCCGCCGCCAUCUUUUGGUGGUAAAAUGGCAUUGCGAUAGAAAGGGAACAAUUCGUACCUAAUGUUACAGCUAGGAAAUAGAACUCUCGCUCCCUGCUUUCUAUCACAACAGAUAGGAAGUUCUCCUAUCGCCCCACUUAGACAUGUUCUGCAAUCACUGGGUGACAAGUCUGGUGUGCACUGUGCUAGAAAGUAAACGGUCUGCAACGGCUGGCCUGGGAUAUCUACUGCCCUUGUGGCAAACUUUGUCUUCCUGCGGCAAGCUUUAUCUGAAGUUGAAUUCAUGGUGUCAAACAGGAAACUCAUACCGGUAUCAGGAUCGGGUUCUGGGAUAUUAGGGAAGCUUGACAAAUAAACUGCCGGCACUGUUUCCAUGGUGGAGAAGAAAGAGCGAUUGGAGUAGCGAACCAUACACUCGUCAUACCAAAUCACAGCUUCUUUGGACAAGGAACACUCUGAGGAUAGUCGCUGUGUUGCAUUUACCACGCAUUGCUGACAAAGUUGAGAGGCGAUGUCACCCCUGCACAUGAACAAGCCAUAGAUGGAGUCAGAGGGGUCUGUUGUACUAGUGACAGUGGUGUUGAAGAAUUGUGUUUUCUCAGUGGCCUUUGACGACAAUGAAGCGAGGAGGCUCCUCCUCAGAUCCAAUUGGAAGCCACUUCUGUUGUUGUCGGAGGUCGUAUCAUUGCUGAAGCAAGUUGAAGAUUGAAAAACAGGAGUGUUUUGUGCCUCAGUAGUUGAAAAACUGAGGAAGCUAAUGAGAAUGAAGAAGAAAAUAAUGUUAUAGGAAGACAUGGAUGUGUUAUUAGACUGUUUUUGAGAGAGCAUUGCAAUUUUAGUUAAAAACUCUCCUUGGCAUCUAUUGUAACGUGAUGCCAAUUAUGCUCAGCAUGAAAUUUAUAUAUACAUUCCUUGGCAUAUAUAAGUUGUAAACUUUCCUCUUGUAUGCAAUCUUAGGUUAUUUCCGAUUUGUUUC